GGCCACAUGUUGACUCAGUGGCGCUUCUCCAUGGGGGAGGCACGUACACUUUGUAAACAGGAAUAGGUGGAUCACCGUUCACUUAGCUAGUUAGUCACAGAAGUGUACGUUCAGCCUCUUAAUUAUUUCAGUCCGAUUUGACUUAUAUUACGAAGUCAGCAUGGCUUAACAUAGUUUCUUUCGUUUUUGACCUCGACAUUGUUGCUGGAUAGAUACUUUCAUAUCUGGCAUGCUAGCGUUGCUCCCUAGCUAAUGACGCUAGCUAAACUCAUAUCUGGAUGCCUCACUCUAGUUCCCGAGAGAGCAGCAUACUGGCCCUCCAUUCCCAAACCUGAAGCCCCUGUCCCCAGCAGGAAAUACCAGGAAAAAGUGUUGGCUUAAGCUACAACUUCCUAUUGAGGAAAUAUCUGCCAACCUGCUCGGUGGGUGACUGGUAACCGUCUUUCCACCAAGCUGUUCCAGGCCUGGAGUGGCACGCUGGAACUUCCAGACGCUUUUAGACCGGAAGCAUUGUGAUGUGGUCCAGAUCUGACACCCCUAUUAGCUCAACCACAGUCUUCACAGCUGCAGUCAUCUGCCCCUGCAUCUGCUACACCGGCCAUGACAGGUGAUACAGAUCUGCCAUGCCCAGCAGUUCAACUGUAGUCACAGCAGUCCUCUGCUGUGGUAUUUAAUUUACCGGCUGCACCAGUUUCUGCUACACUAACCGUGAAGGGAGAAACUUUUGAGGAUUUCCAGAUGGAUACAGAUCUGCCAUGUACUCAAACAUGCACACACACAUUAUCCACAAUGUAAAUAAGUUGUAAUUACUAGUUUAUUUAAUGUUUGUUCCAUUUUAUUUUAGGAUUGGAGAUAUCUACGCCUAUAUAUCCAUGAUCAAUAUCGGCAUAAUUACUAUAAAUAUCUAUCAAAUCAAAGUGUGAUUGAUAAUAUUGUAAAAGACUAUUGCUUAAUGUGUACAGUUUUAGGACAUUUUGUGUGCUUUUUUCACAGUUGAAAAACAUGCCUCCCUCUCACACACACAGACAUUAGACCCAAUGUAAAUAAAUUGUAAUAACUUGUUUAUUUUACAUAUGCUCCAUUUUAUUUGAGGAAAAUAUAUGCAAUAAAGUACAUUCACAGUGAA